rnacentral:lncRNA from 1 species
AUGAAUAAAUCUCAGUGGAGAAAAUGUUAUUGGGUUUUACCUAAAGCACAAGACAGGACUGCAAAACACAUAUUUAGCCUCGGUUUCACGAGACCUCUUCUACUUAGUCUUUGCUCUAAAAUUGGCACAAUUGUUCAGUACAAGCAGCAUUUUUUUCCUCAUCUUGAUCUGGUGUCUGUACAAAUCUGGCUUGGUUUUUGGUUUGUUUUUUUGUUGUUUUUUUUUUUUCCGCACUGUCGGGAAUUUUUUAAACCGUGUUAAUUGUAGUCAGCUGCAUAAUGUUUGUUAGGCCUCUCCACCAAGCUCUUUAAAUGAACGUCAGUGGCUGUCUUCCCUUGGACAAUAAUGAAUGUAUAUAUCGUAAGUGCAGACUAUACAGAAAAGUGGCUAAGUCAAGGAUCAGAGGGUUUUGUAAAGCCUGUUUAUUUUUUUAAAUGAGUUUGAGCAUUUAUAUUUUACCACCAUUUACGUGGUUUUGGGGAACCCAGAUUGUGUCAAGAUCUCAUGCCAAAACAAGCCAAAAGUUGUUUGAUUUCAACCUUUUCUUCCAUGAACCAUAUUUUAAAUGAUACUUUGUCAUUUUAAAUGUUUUAUUGAAACAUGUACUGAUGAAAAAAACAAACAAAAUGUCAUCUUGACAAAAGAUUUAUACAUGAAUCAGAAAGUAUUUAUUUCAAUUUUGUACCUUUCCAUUUUAAUACAUUAUAAUGUAUUGACUCAAC